rnacentral:rRNA from 1 species
UUUAUGGAGAGUUUGAUCCUGGCUCAGGAUGAACGCUGGCGGCGUGCCUAAUACAUGCAAGUCGAGCGAACGGACGAGAAGCUUGCUUCUCUGAUGUUAGCGGCGGACGGGUGAGCAACACGUGGAUAACCUACCUAUAAGACUGGGAUAACUUCGGGAAACCG